ensembl:lncRNA
AAAUGACACAUUUCUGACAGUCUUUUUAUUUCACUUGUUUUGCUUCUUUCACUUCAGAGUGAUCUCAGAUCUACAACACUGCCUCUUCAAGGACUGCAGAGAAGGAAGAGAAAAACUGAUCUUCCUAAUGACAAGGAUUUUUUUGAAAGUGUCAAGGAAGUGUCAAGGAUGUGUCAAGGGCCACAGCUUCGUGCCCCGGCUGCAGCCGGCCAUUGGGGUGGCCUGCGUCUGUGAAGGAUGGAGUGCCCAGGAAGACAACGUCAUCUACCGCCUGCUCGUGCCCAUGAGACCUCCCCCCGGGCAGACCUUCAAUGUGGAGCUUGGCAUAAGGCAGAUGGUUGUGUCAGCAUCAGGGAAGGGAGAUCUGGUACCUCAACAAGCAGGGAGAAAAUAUGAUCAAACAGCUUGUGGGUUGAGACAGGGACAGGGAGAUCUCUCACCAGCUACCAUCCCAGCUUUUGGAAGACGAAGUCAGUUUAUUGCCAGUUAAUGACAGGGUUGAACAGU